rnacentral:rRNA from 1 species
UGGAGCAUGUGGUUUAAUUCGAAGCAACGCGAAGAACCUUACCAGGUCUUGACAUCCCGAUGCUAUUUCUAGAGAUAGAAGUUACUUCGGUACAUCGGUGACAGGUGGUGCAUGGUUGUCGUCAGCUCGUGUCGUGAGAUGUUGGGUUAAGUCCCGCAACGAGCGCAACCCCUAUUGUUAGUUGCCAUCAUUCAGUUGGGCACUCUAGCGAGACUGCCGGUAAUAAACCGGAGGAAGUGGGGAUGACGUCAAAUCAUCAUGCCCCUUAUGACCUGGGCUACACACGUGCUACAAUGGUUGGUACAACGAGUUGCGAGUCGGUGACGGCGAGCUAAUCUCUUAAAGCCAAUCUCAGUUCGGAUUGUAGGCUGCAACUCGCCUACAUGAAGUCGGAAUCGCUAGUGAUCGCAGGUCAGCAUACUGCGGUGAAUACGUUCCCGGGUCUU